CAUUGAUGACUUUCUCAACUGUAUUAAAUAUGUGUUUAUUUUGGUUGACUGAGAGCUACUAUGUUGACUGUCUGUUAUAACUGUAAUAAUACAGUCAACUAAAUUAGUAGCUUAUUGAUGAGUCGUUAUUUCUUGAACCAUAUUUAGUUUAUUGCACUUAAUUAAACCAGGGAAUUGUGUUUAAUUGUCUGUUAUUUCCC
rnacentral:lncRNA from 1 species